rnacentral:rRNA from 1 species
ACGCCUAACACAUGCAAGUCGAACGCAGUAGCAAUACUGAGUGGCAAACGGGUGAGUAUAAUGUGGGAAUCUGCCUUUUGGUUUGGAAUAACACGGGGAAACCUGUGCUAAUACCGAAUAAGCCUUUACAGGGAAAGUUUUAACGCCGAAAGAUGAGCCCGCACUUGAUUAGCUAGUUGGUAAGGUAAAAGCUUACCAAGGCGACAAUCAAUAGCUGUUCUUAGAGGAAGACCAGCCACAUUGGGACUGAGACACGGCCCAGACUCCUACGGGAGGCAGCAGUGGGGAAUCUUGCACAAUGGGGGAAACCCUGAUGCAGCGAUGCCGCGUGAGUGAAGAAGGCCUUUGGGUUGUAAAACUCUUUCGUCGGGGAAGAAAAUGACUGUACCCGAAUAAGAAGGU